AAGCGAGCUGGUAGGAACGCGGAGCUGCCGCAGCCGCAGGUGCCUGCGACCUGGGAGCGUCCAGGCACGCCAGUGAACACGCUCCGGCGCCGCCGGCCUCCAUUGCCGACUCCGCCCUGUGUGUUGGGGCGGACGGGGGCUUCCCACGUCUCGUGUUUGCUGUCCGUGAACAAUCCCCGCACCGCGGGCAGGGCCGGUGUCCAGCGCGUGGCGGGGCCGUGCUGUCCGGCUGCGACCACCACGGGCCCAAAUGCCACUCCUGUGGCUGCCGCCCCUGGUUCAGCCUCAAAGCUGCCGCCUGACCAAAGUGGUCCGGAAGUCGGUCUCCGGAAGUCGGUCUCCGGAAGUUGGUCACCGGAAGUGGAGCCUGGAAGUUAGCUUCGGGAGCCCGCCUCCGGAUGUCUUCUUCCAGGACUGGGCCUCCGGAUGUCAGUUUACGGAAGUAGGUUCCCUAGAACUUUGUAUCAAAAGUCGGCCUCCGGAUGUUGGUCUCCGGAAGUUGGUCUCCGGAAGUAAAGCCUGGAAGUUAGUUUUGGAAUCCGGCCUUUGGAAGUCAGGCUCUGGAAGUAGAUCCCUGGGAGUUAGUAUUGGAAGCCGGCUCCCAGAAGUUGGCCUUUGGAAGUAGGCCUCCUGAAGUCUGCCUCCAGGACUGGAUCUCCAGAAGUCGGCCUCCGGAAGUAGAUCCCUAGAAGUUAGUAUCGGAUGCCGGCUUCCGGAAGUAGGCCUUUGGAAGUCGGCCUCUGGAAGUUGGCAUGUGGAAGUUGGCCUCCAGGUCUCGACCUCUGGAAGUCAGGCUCCAGGAGUCAAUGUGGCAUCAUUAGGUGGAAGUAUUGUUUGUUCUGAGCACAAGGCACUCUCAUCCUUUUUAUACCCAAAGGAGACAGAAGCUGAGAAUACUUGUCAAAGUUUAGGUUGAUCAGGAAGGAAUUUAAAUGGAUGAUUAUGUUGUUUCAGAAGACAGAAGUUUAUCACGUGUUGUGGGAAGGCAGUGCUGGAGGGGAAACCUCUGGGGGUUUGAUUCAGGGAGCCAGUGGGUAGGAGAACCAGAUCUAUGAAGAAAUAAACUCGCCGAUUUCCAGGAAACAGUAGACCCAAAACCAGACGGAAGGAAACUUCUUUUCAUGUGAGUAGUUGGCCCUGGGGGAGCGGGCACAUGCCUCCAGUGCUAGCCAUUCUAGAGUUAAAAACGCAUGAGGAGGAAAAUUGCAGAGAUUUUCAACACCAGGAAACGUCUGCGUGGGCUAUUAUAUAGCUGUUACAGGAGCAAAGAAUACCCCAGAGCAACCCCUUCCCUGCUAUAAACCAGCCUCAGAGUAGAGGGACUCAAGAGCUGCCAAGGGGAGGAGUAUUUAUAGGCCCAGCAUAAACUAAGAGGGAGAGCCCAGCUGGAUGCUCUCCCAUUGUGGGCCUUGCCUUUCACAUCCAGAAUUUCAACCCUAAUCUUGGUAAAGCCCAAAUGUAAGGGUAAAGUAAGGGUAAACAAUCUACAGUGUGGCCCUUACCACAGAGCACCCUGUGACCAUUCAGUAAUUGAACUAUUUGGCUGCUACCAUGAUAGGUCAAUAAAGAACCUGUCUUAUAGAAUGGAACCCACAGAUUGUUUUAAAUGGCCGCAUUUUUUUGUUUGUGUGUGUGGGUUUUUUUUAAACAUUCUUGCAGCAUUCCCUGGAAUGAGACUUAGGACAAUAUUAAAUCCAAUGAAUUACCCAGCCUUCAAGAGGGCAGGGUGGCAUGUUAAGAACAGCUUUGAAUGAUGUUCCUGGUGUCAGUAGAAGCAGUACCAGACACGGUGCUCUCAUUCAACCAAGACUAGUGAGGGAAUGAGGGAGAUGCAGACCCAAAUCCCUUCUCUCUCUUUAUAGAGUUUCUGGAUGUGUGUAAUUGUUUUUGCAGCCCUCAGCUCUGGAAGGAGCCUAGUGAAUGCUUCUGUCCGUGUAUGGUAAGGUAUCUGGACAUGCAGUUGCCUCAUGAUCUGUGAGCAAUUCACUGAUUUGAAAAUUACUCGCCCCCCUUCCUGUACCUUGCUGUCUGGCCAGGCUCAACCAACUCUGAGGGAGUCACAUGGUUGGGGAAGGGUACAUAGGCCUGGAUGGGUUGCCUUUGACCAUAUAGUGCUUGCCUGGGCCUGACCAGAACUUGCUCUCUAUCCCUGGAAAAUUCUGCUCUACUCCUCACCAUCUGUUGGCCUGCUUGUGUGAGAACCCUGAAGGCUUUUGUUCCCAAAAGUGGGCCUUGAAGACUGGGCAGGCUAUGGGGCCUGGUGCUCCAGAUCCUUUCUAGAAACUUUUUUUUUAACUUUAAAAUAUGAUCUCAUUUAUUUCUCAUGACCCUGUGAGGUAGCAAUUGUAACCCUUAUUACAAAGAUGAGGAAACCAACUCAGUGAUGAGAGUUGACUUGUCUACCCAGCUAGCACAAAGCAGAGGUGGGAUUCAAACCCAGGUCUGAAGAUGUUCUCAGUGCUUUUGCCAUGAUAACUCAGCUACUUCCAAGUCUAUUGGUCCUGGAAGUGUGAAUACAAAUUAAAAACAAGAGACUUUCUAGAGACUUAGUCUCCAUCUACCUCCUUUGGAGUGGUAAGUUGCCCAUAGAACUAACAAUUGUACUUACAGAGUUUAGUACAUCUGCCCUACUGGAUCAGGACCCUGGGGGAAGGAACAGAAGCUUUAAGGCCUUGCUACUCCUAUGAUAGUUAAAAGACUGGCAAGGCCAAUGGCAUUAGCAGGGACUUGUUAGAAUUGCACAAUCUCUGGCACCACUCAGAUUUAUGAAUCAGAAUGUUAAUUUGGUCAUUUUUAGGCAUAUUUAAGUUUGAGAAGCACUGCUUUGGGGGACUUAUGUAUAGUUGGGCAGGGAGUUGUGAAUCCUUGCCCCUGAUUUAUGGUGUGGGGCUGCAGUUGGGGGUGUCCUUGCCUACCCAAGAUUUGAUGACUUCCUGUGGGGAGUACGUGGCCCACAAAGACCAUUUCUCAAAUGUCUAGUUGUCCAAACACUCUUCCAACUGUGACACAUUUGUGUGCCACACCUUCUAGUGAUGAGCCACCAUUUCUAAAGCCUUUCAUGAAGUGUGUCAUCACGGUCAUGAUGCCAACUGUGGUGCUGAUGGGGCUGAUUCAUCGGUGAUGUGCAGGGGUUAAUGCCACUCACCCCUUUGUGAGCAGCUCAUGAGCUGGCUUCACAGAGCAUUGUGUUAGCAGGGCCAAGUCUCGCCACUGCAAAGUGCCAUGGAGUAGCGCAGGUGACAAAGUGACAUGGCCUAGGAACAUCCUCUGGGUGGGAAUCUGCACAGGAAGAUUGAGGAAUGUGAACCUGAAGCCUGGAUUGUCAUCUCUGGUGCCGCUGCUCCUGGGAACUUAGGUGACAUUAGGGGCCAGCAUAUCCAGGCUCCUUCCUCGAUAGCCUGGCAAUGACAGAACCUGCCAUGUUUUGGGUUAGUGUCCUUGUCACCUCUCCAGGUGUACAGUGACAAAAGAUGGAAAAUAGCUCCAAAGAAUUUAAUUCAAGAAAAGAUAACAGGUGCCCUUCUGUAAACUGGUUCCCUUGUGAAUACUAUCCACUGUUUACCCAGCAGGCUCCCCGUGUGACGCAGGACAGUGGGGUCUGGACUCCAGGAUGUGAAAGACAAAGACAACCUAUUCCAUCAGUGAGAAGAACUUUGUGUGUGUGCUGGUUUUUAAUUAUAGUCUUUGCUAUAUUUUUCCCUGGGCCACACAAAUGUGGGCUGUGGAACAGGAGUUGUCCUCUGUCAUCCGUCGACUUGUACCAGGGAGCCCGGCCAUCUGCACACAGGUCCUCAGGUGCAUUUGCCCUUCGGUCACCGGCUGCACUCUGGCGCAGAGCUUUAGCACCUUAAGUUGCUCAAUUUGAUCUCUGCACUCAGGAACAAGGUAAUUAAGUCAGCCACAAUCUAAGAAAACGGAUCUGCCUCGACUUGUUGACCGUCUUCAGACAGUGCUCCAUCCUAAAUCAUUUGAUAAUGUAGGAGGCUCGGUGCAGUUCUCCACUUGACUGAGGAUUUUUGAACUUUUUGAGGUUGAGGAUUAUACUCACAGGAGUUAGCACUGUUUGACAAUAUCAGCAUUUCUGAGUUUAGAGCAGCCAGGAGUUGUGGAGUCCUACGCCGAGAAGGAGAAAACCAAGGCCGUAAAGAGUAACGUACAAUGGACUGGCUUCUAGAGGCCCGUGCCAGCCUUGUAUGAAGGACGACAGACAGAAAGAAUGUAUGUGAACUGUGAAAUCAACCACAUUUGUGAACCUUGUGCAAAGUAUCAGCACCGAAACAGCAGACCAGUGAAUGUUCCCCUGAAAACCAGAAGUCAGGAAACCACUGGGCAAAGAACAAAGAACCCAGGGGUUUGGCCUUAUAGCCUCAGGGAUGAUUUUUGUUCCGUAGUGAACACAGCUAAACAUCUUGCUGUCUAAGUCACACAUUAUGAUCCUUGGGAGAUAAAGCAGUGAGUUGUGUCCAAAGGUAGAUUCACAUGCAUUAAAAGCAAACAUUUUUCCUACUCAGAGGUCGAGGUAGGGGGACCGAAGGCCUGGAGACAGCUGAGGGCUGGCUCUACCUCCCUGACGUCGGGGUGACGUCAUUAGCUAGCUCCAGCCUGUUGGCGGAACACCCAGGACUGGCAAUUUAUCCCAUGUUUGCAGCCUGAGAUUACGGAAAGCUUUUAUCAACACUAAAAAUAAUAUUUAGCAAGCCUCAUCGAUCCUUCUUUAAAUAAAGCACCUAUUUUAGAUGAGGUUAGCAAUUUUAUUCAUAGGAUUAAUUUCAUCCCACAAACUACCGUGCAAUGUCUGACAAAAGAUCUUUUUAUAAAUUCCACAUUAGAAAAUAAGUCAUAAUCCCAUCUGCUCCAUUCAUUUCUCUCUGCUCAGUAGAAUGCAUUCAGCAAUACAAGGUCUCCUGCAGACUGAGACAGGUAGUACGGAUAUUCAUAAAUCACCAGCAAAUGAAUAGAUGAAGGUGACAGUGGCCAUAAGAAAUCAAAUCAUUACACUUGUUCUGCUGCUGUGUGCUGAGUGACUAGUUCUUGGCAUAGAACUUGGAUAGCAGAAUAUCCAAACUUCUAAAUGUCCUCUAAGACUUCAUGAGGUUCCAGGUCAACACGGUUCUGACCUUUGGCCUCCAACAGGUGAAGCCCAAAUUCUCCACGAGAGGACAAGGACAUCUGAGAACAAACAUUUUCUAGAAGGAUUCUCAACCUUCUUAGUUUCUGCAAUAGUUGAGUGUAGGCAGCUUUGUUAAAAAAAAAAAAAAGACAAGAAAGGAAGGAAGGAAGAAAGGAGAGCAGAAGGAAGAAAAAUGCCAGGGAAUUCAAAGCAAACCCUUACAUGAGAUAACAAAUUGCCAUAUAAAAUAUACAUAGAACAAGGUUUCUAUGUAUUGCCCUUAAUUGGGUUUAGAAAGAAAGGGAAUCCCAGCACCACCGUGCUAAGAACACUUGCUGCCUGCUGCCUUUUCUGGCAGGAUCGUCCUGGUUUGUGGAAAGAGUGCUAGUCCGACACUGGAUGCUGCUGACAACUGGGGACAGUCUUAGUGUGGUGACAGUCUCCUGAGAAGGUGCGAGGGUUUGGACACGUCACCGAGCACCCUGACACAUAGUCUCCCAUGUGGCUGUGACAUAGCAUGUCAGCGAAAAGUCUUGGCCUCCAUGUGCCUCGAACCACAAUAAAGUCGGUUUCCUAACAACAGUGCCGAGGUGCACGGGGACCCCAAAGCCAUGCUCUGGGUGCUGGGUCUGGCGAACCCACUAAGCCCAGGUUCAUGACCCUCAACACCAGGCAAAUGCUUGACUUACCGUGUUUCAUGCCCUCCCGGGGACACCCGCGCUCCAAUCAGCAUCAGGUUCUCUUUCUCCUUUUUCGCUCCAGUCUCGUUCUACCCAGAAUGUCCCUUUGCCUCUGCUCUUACUGGAAUCCUGAUACUUGACCCCAGCACGGUCUCAUCCUGGGGUGCUCCUGCAUCCUCUCCGCCUCCUGGUUUCCUUCUGUCCCGGUUCUGAGACGCACGCUGGGACCUGCUGGUUG